UCCACACAAAGAGUGGAAACCAGCCAAGAGCUACACUUUUUACAACCACAGAGGGCCCUGGGUUCACCUUUGUGAAUGCACUUUCUGAUAUUCCCAAAAGAAGAUAUCUUCCAAUACCCCAUGGCUCCUGGUAGCUUCCUUCCUAGCCCACACUCAUUGCGAAUGGCACCUCUGAGUUUUCCUCAAAGACAUGGUAAGGAAAUACAUUUUAGGAGGAAGGAGGUGACAGGGCCAUGGGUCCAAUUCUGCACUUGGCACAGUCCCAAGGACACUGGGCAUAGAGAUAGAAAUUUGAGUUCCAGUUGGCUACAUGGGGUGCCGGUUUCAAAGGGGCUGUCAAUCUUGCCUGUUUACCACAUCACUCUUUGUAAAAGGGACUUCUUUUCUAGGAGUUUUGUAUUUUUUUCCCCUGACAUUUUCUGCUUUGGUAAUUGACUACAAGAAUAGUUCUAUAACAUAAAUCAACGAUGAAAAACAAAUUACUCCCGCCCCCAGUCUUUCAUUCCCCCCUCGUCUCUAACGAUAUUUUUCUGUAUGAUGACUAACCCAGACUGACGUAAUUUAUCAAUUCAUCUCGACGAUGCACAUUAGGAAAUGCAUUCCGAGGGCCCCAGCAGGCAGCCUUCGGUGUGCCACAUCACCUUCGAGAAGCCAUUAGUCCUACCGAGACAUCCAAAGCCCAGCCUUUGUGCAGAGAACGUCAGGCCUGCUGCUGCUAAUGGCUUUAUUAAUCAGAAGGUGAACCGGCAGCGCAAGUGUCACAGCCGCGUAAAAUAAGUGGUUUUAUGGCAAAUGUAGUUAAAAAGAAAUGACACGUUGGAUUUACAGUGCUCUGGAGUAAAAGAAAAAAAAUAAUAAGAGAGAGAAAAAGGAAAUCAGACAUAGCGGCAAUUUUCUAUCUUCGGUUAAAUUCAUUAAGCAUGUGCUAUUAAAAGUCAUUUGUAACUAGUUUCCCGGUGAGUCUGUGUUCUAGAAGAAUUUAUUUGAAAAUACAGAGGAAAGCUUAAAUUAGCCUUUUUUAAAAAUUAAAUAUAUAUAUAUAACAAGCCAACGUUUCAUCUCCAGAGGAAAAGAGAGUCAGAUAUGCAAUAGGAGAG
ensembl:lincRNA